GACGAACGCUGGCGGCGUGCUUAACACAUGCAAGUCGAACGAAGAGCGAUGGAAGCUUGCUUCUAUCAAUCUUAGUGGCGUACGGGUGAGUAACGCGUAAUCAACCUGCCCUUCAGAGGGGGACAACAGUUGGAAACGACUGCUAAUACCGCAUACGAUCUAAUCUCGGCAUCGAGGAUAGAUGAAAGGUGGCCUCUACAUGUAAGCUAUCACUGAAGGAGGGGAUUGCGUCUGAUUAGCUAGUUGGAGGGGUAACGGCCCACCAAGGCGAUGAUCAGUAGCCGGUCUGAGAGGAUGAACGGCCACAUUGGGACUGAGACACGGCCCAGACUCCUACGGGAGGCAGCAGUGGGGAAUCUUCCGCAAUGGACGAAAGUCUGACGGAGCAACGCCGCGUGAGCGAUGACGGCCUUCGCGUUGUAAAGCUCUGUUAAUCGGGACGAAAGGCCUUCUUGCGAAUAGUGAGAAGGAUUGACGGUACCGGAAUAGAAAGCCACGGCUAACUACGUG
rnacentral:rRNA from 1 species